UCUUGAAUAGAGUGAAACAUGCACGGCA
rnacentral:piRNA from 1 species